GUGUAAAUCAAGUUGGGUGGCUAGACUAUGGUUAGCCAACAUCUGAAUGACAAACUGAAAGAAACGAUGGGGAGGUGGAACAGAAUUAUUCCCUGACUCUAACAGCAACUUAGGACUAAAGGGGCAUAAAAUCGUUUAUUCGUUUUAAUUGCCACACCAACCAACGAAAUACAAAAUAUCCAACUUCUUAAAAUCUAUCUCUAGUAUGAGGAACCUCCACACAGAUUCAAUUUUCUUACAUCAGUUCUAACUACCUGCUGUUCACUUUUUCAGGUAGCUUCUUCUAGAUAGCUGGCCCGGCACCAAAAUUAAAACAGAUACCCUGUGAUCAUUCAGUAGAGGGGAGAGCAGAAGGUUUUUCGGCAUUUUGUUUUUGUUUUUAACAAGUGCCAUCCUGUUCCUCUGCUCUGCUGAGGAACCACCAAGAAAAAGAGGAAGGAAGAGGGGAAAGGGAGGGGGCUCCUUCAGUCCAUGUCCUCCCAGAUCCAGGUAAGACGGGACGCCUUCUCUCUCAACGCCAAAAAGAUGUUGGCUAUAAAGGGAAACCAAUGGGAUGCUCCCCACCUCCAAAAAAAAAAAUUGGGAGAAUUUUUGCAGGACGGAAGGGGCUCGUGACUUCACCUCGAUGCGUGAUUAGAUGUCGUGGGGGUGGGAAUCCCAGCGACUGCCCGCGUUGCCCCGCAGACGGGGAUGGGAGGGCAUGGGGUUUCCUUUCCUCUUGCGCCCGGCGAGGGGGUGGGGUGCUGUCUGGUCCCUCGAGGGGGACGGAGAGACUGUAGUGGGGUCCUCGCGCUCUCCCUCCUACACCGCUCGGGCCAUGGCAACCCUCCCCCCUCCCUCCCCGUUACCUGUGGGGGACGGUGACGACGACAGUGCUGGGGCCCGGCGGCCUGGUCCUCCUCCUCCUCCUCCUCCUCCUCCUCCUCCCCGCCCGACGGAGGCGGCGGCGUCGGCGGCAGCGACAGCCCCAGGGGGAGGGGGCGGAGCGCACGGUUGGCUCGCUCUCCCUCUCUCCUCCCCCGGGCGGAGGCGGAGGGGACCCUAUCUCGGGCCGCCGCGCCUAGGCCCGUGGAGAGCCUGCGGCUCGGGCAUGGCGGCGACGGCCGAGCUGUCUCGGAGGUAUUUACUGAUGUGCACCCCGCAGAAUGCGCUAACCUGGCCCCACAACCAGGAGGGAGACCCAGUUUUUACUUUGUGAUGUUCUAAGGAGGGAUUUCCCGCGGCCAAAUGCAAGCUUGACUUUCCAUUACAAGCGAAAAGAAGCUAUUUUCUGCAGAGAGAUUUCUUACCGGUCUCCGGAGCUGCCAAGCGCGGUAGUCUUCCUCGCCCCUGGACGAUUCUGGUGGUCUGAAGACCCUACCCACUUAUUCACAUAUCAAAUGCGCCUCGAAGUAGGGUAGUUGCACUGGAGUACGCCCGGAAGCCACAAUUUCCCUUAGCACUUUGCUGGGGUGUCCUGCAGACGUAUACGAUGCUGGGCUCCCUGGGUUCCUCGAACAUAGCUUUCGUUUUUUCUUGCUUGACAUUGCUGUUAAUUAGCUGUUAAUUGCACUCCUCCAGACCCAGGGUCACAUGAAUUCUCCUAUAAAUUUAUUUCCUGAGCCUGCCUUUGAAUUAAAAACAAAAACAAACUAUUCUGUAAGCUCAUUGAGGGUAGGGACUUCCUACCUUCCUUUUCUUUUCUCUCUCAAUAAAUGUUGUUAAUAAAUGCUUCUUAAACUGAAU
rnacentral:lncRNA from 1 species